rnacentral:lncRNA from 1 species
GACAAGCUCCCUACACUGGGUCAAAUCUUGAGUACCCUGAAUGGCUAUUCUAUAAGUACUUGGGAGUGUAACAUGUGACAGCAGAUUAGGACCCACAGGGGUUUAGAAGUCAUUGUUUCACGAGAAAACGGAGGUUCAAAGUGAUUUGCACAAGAUGAUAAGGCUGGCUGGUGACCAACAGGGACCAUAACUCAUGACUCGGAGUCUGGGUCAGAGCACCCUUCUGCUCCUAUGGUGGCCCCAAAUCCUGGAUGGCUCUGAUUUCCAGAGGAGGCUCUGAUUGCCAGCUUUCUGCCCUUUCCACUGUCAGAGUACUUGGAUGUGACAGUUUCCCCACCCCAGUUUGGGACUUAGCAGGAAUUACGGUCACACUGCCUGUGUAUCCUGGGGCGUCCCCAUUGGCCAUCUGUCUCGGUGUAAGAGCUGACUCUUCCUUUUCCUUUCUGAGACCUUACUUGAGAUAGUUAAUAACCUUGGGCCUUGUAGAAAUUGCAAUCGCUCUUAAAAGAAGUGUAAAAUUGGUAUUAAUAUUUAAUUCCUACAAUUUGGAAGAACUUGAAACUGCAAUUAGAUGGCAGUGCCUGUCAGCUUCCAGCAGGCGGGCAUGCUCUUGUUAGAUCCCUCAGAGGCUGCAGAGGGCCGCCCAUCACCUUCGCAUGUGUUCCUUAACAAUGUGCUCACAGUCUCUCAAGAGGGAGCUCCAGAUGGUGAAGGAAACUCUGCAGGCCAUGAUCCUGCAGCUCCAGCCAGCAAAGGAGGCAGGAGAAAGAGAGGCUGCAGCUUCCUGUGUGACAGCUGGUGUCUGGGAAGCACAGGCCUGAGGCAUGACAGGAUAGGGGAAGGAGGAAAGAGCGCAGCUCCUGCCUCCGUUAGGAUCUAUGCACAUGAGACAAUUUUUGCCACUUCCUGAAGUCACACUGUCAUUUUCAGAAGGCAGCUGGUGCUUUGCUGGGGCUCCCGUGCUGUGCAGAGCUGCUGUCCUCAGUCAAGGAGAUGCCCUGGCUCACGCCAGCCAUUGGCCACGGUUCAGGGAACAGAGCAAAGCACAGUGUUUGAAUUUGCUCAUUGUCAAUUUGCUGGUUGUGUUCUCUACAGUUUUAUCUUCAGCAUUUUUGAAAAUAUAUGAUACAUAUUUUAAUAAGUAUAAUCGGUUUGUUCCAGGAAUUCUUGGUUUUUUGAUGAUGGACCAAAUUCCUGAAUUAUUUAUAACUAUAGCUAAAAAUUAUUAUGUACUCAUCACAUGGCACUUGAAAUCCUUGAAUCUUUAAAUUGAUUCCAGUAAAGCAAAACUUGGGAAGAGUCAGAACUGCCCGUAUUGUCCAUAAGGAAUCCGUAGUUUGACGUGCGUCAUUUUAAAAAGCCUCCCAGAUGGAAGGCAUGUUCACAGUCACUGCCCCAAGUGUUUUGUGUUACUCAGGCAUCAUCAUGAAUAAUUCUGUGAGGUCCUGAUGUAUUUGAAAAGCCUGGAAGCUGAUAACUGCUCUGAGUGGCCCCCCAAAUAAGGGUUCUCUGGGACCCUCAGUGGACAAUGUGUUCCUUUCCUUGUUGAGAGGCCUGACCAAGUUUAAGUACUGGGGCAGGUGAAUGAUGCUUUAACCAUGUGCUGCAACUCAUCUCUAGCCUUUGCUGGUGUCUGAGUCAGUCAGGAAGCUUGCUAAAGGCCAGGGGUCCUCCGCUGGCCACACAGCUGUCUCAGGACAAACCCCCUCUUUGGCCACUGUGACCACAGAAGACCCAGGACCAUUUACCUCAAACAAUAAUACAGGGCAGUUUUUGUGAGGGCAACAUAAAAAGAAAUUAAGGCUUGAGUUUAAAAGCAACAAGACAACAACAAUUACAGUUUAAACUUUUAUGGAGACAGUCAAGACCACAAGCCAAAGGGCAGAUUGAAAGUGGUGACUUCGAUGCUCAUCUGCCUGUGCCACAGUGUGAGAGAAUAAAUGAUACAUUACAUGGCCCCGCGUGCUGAGACGCUGACGUUGAAAUGGCUGCCGGUUUAUCUUUCAGCAGCCCGAGUUGGGGCACCUUCUCAGUCUGUAACAGCCUCAGUUCCUUCCAACUUCCUGAAAUUUCAAGAUCAAAAUGAUCCUUCCCCAAAUCAUAUGAAUAUAAGAAAGUUUUCUUCCUCUGCCAUCGGGGUGGUCUGCCCAUCCGGGGAACAUGUAAGGGCUCGUGUGUAUGUGCUGGGAUGUCCUAAGACCUUUAAAGUCAUUAUCACCGUUAAUUCUUAUAGCAACCUUAGGAUGUGGGUGUUUGUAGAUGGCCAAACUGAGCCUUAGGAAACUAAUUAACUUCCUCAAGGCACAGAGCUGGUAAGCAGUGAAGCAACAGUAGCACUUGGAGAUAGGUAGAACGCUCGUAACUGGUGUUCUUUCUAAAGUGCCUUUAAUGUCUUUUUGGGACUUUGAGCCAUGGAACUUACUAGUUCACUUAAGAACUCGUGGUCGCCUUGGGAGUCCUUCCUGGAGAGUCAGAGAAACUGAGCCUCGGGAAUCUUGACUUCCCACUGCCGGAGGUGAGCCCCACUGUCCCGCGGCCGUCAAGGAUGGGCUCAGACAGGCUGAAGCCCACCUGCCCACCCACCACUGUCCCAACCAACCAUUCACUCCCAAUCCACCACAACAGCCUUGCCAGGAGCAACCACUUACUGCCUAACUGCGGGGCACGUUUUCUUGAAAAUCCCCAUCCAACUGGUGUUUUUCAGAAAGCAUUCGAGAGAGCAACCUAGCACUCAUUGGUCAAUGCCUUUUUGUCUAAGUGACUCGAUACUUUUAUUUUUAACAUCCUCACCUUGUCUAAUCUUUGAAUUUUGUCAUAUAAUUUAUUGCUUCAUGAAGUUUACUUUUUGUUACAUGAAAUUAAAACUGAUAUUCAAGCAUGGUGCACCUUUAACAUUUUUUUUUUUUGUCUUCUGGGGUAUGGAUGAUAGAAAAACUUAUCAGGUUUAUUCAUCCCAUGUUUUUGUUACAGGAUGAUUAACUGGACAAUUGCUUACUUCACACAAAACGUUCCUAAUCAAGCAAUGCUUUAAAAUUGUGUAUGUGUUUACUUUCAGAUAUCAACCAAUCAGAAAACAAUAGAACUAAAGUGAGGAACAGGACAAAGCUGCCACCAAUAUCACUGAAAUUCCCAGGAGUGAGAAUACUAGGACAAAGGAGAAAGGAAAAGUGGCGGUUCCUGAUUACUGAGAGCUCCAGAGUGAACUCACAGGGGUUCUAAAGCACUUUCUUCCUUUACCCACACUGGAUGGGGGCAUUUAUCUCCACGUUCAGUGGGGGCUCCAGCUCUCAGCAGGACAACAGCAUCUGUAACAACCACACAGCUGGGGACACUGGGAACAGAGCCUUUACUCUGCUUUCGUAUAAGCCUUUAGUAAAUAAAAAGCCCAUGCCACAGUCUUUCUUCCCCGGGAUGGAAGCGUCUGAUGCUUUGUGUGGGCCCAGAGAGUUCCAUCCUUUACAAGCAGGACGAGUAAGAACUUCCUGACGGAGGAACAGGAGGAGAACUGGAGAUAAUACACACUGAACUUGAUAAUACACGCUGUGGGGAAGACGCUUGUGGAGGUAUGAAGAGGAUGUUUAAAAAAAUGAAAAUGACAAGAAAACAACGCACUCUCAGAAAAUACAGGAGAUGCUAAAAAAAUAAUCGCGAGGUCCGAGGGAGGCAAAUGACGUGUUGCAACCUAUGAAAAAUAAAAAGAAAAUGGAAAAGACCUUUGUGCAAUGGCCAGUACUACACAAUGCACAGAAAACAAUCUCUGAUUUAUUACUUUUGACACAAAGAAAGUCAGAAAAGCAGAGGGCAUGCGCCAAGUGGUGUCCUGCUAAGUGGGGUUUUCACUUUGAAGGGCAAGCGUAGAAAGGCGUGUCUCCCAGGGGAGGAGCUGGCAAUUACCAUGGAGACCUUAACCUCGAGGGAAUGGAGCACUGAACGGAG